CUGGCAUGUGGGAGGAUCAGGUGACUUGGAGCCCUUCAUGAAAAGCUGAAGGUUUUACCUGGUUCUAAUUUAGGGCAGGAUGACCUCUGCCCCAUCUUUUGAUUUUCCUCUCUGUCCUGGCUUCUCUGUGCAAUGUGCCCCACUUUAGAGCAUCUUUUUCUUUUUCUUUUUCCUUUCUUUAAGUCUGACCCUUUCUAGAAUCCCCUUUGCUCACUGAUAACUGUUGGAAAGGAAUGACUUCUGGACCUUUCCCACUUUACUUAUUUACUUCAUUUUUUUUAAAGUAGGUACCUAGCAUAGGGCUUGAACUCACAACCCCUAGAUUGGCGUGUUCUACUGACUGAGCCAGCCCAGCCCCCCUGAAUCAUACCCAUUUUUAAUGGGCAUUUCAGCUUAAUUCCUUGCCCUGAUGAUCAAAACAUAAUCACCUCUAGUUAUGCUCCUUACAGCUGGCUCUUCCCUCUCCCAGGAUGAGGAUAAAUGAGUUUAGAUGCUAUAGAGCCUGACACUCAUUUUCCCAGCAUCACUUGCAGCUAUGGUGUGAAUCUGUGAUCUAGGCUUCACCCAUCACACACUCCUUUUCAGGACUUGGAUGGCAUGGGUUGGAGCCACAAAGAAGCAAGGACCACGGAGAACUCUCCCUGGUGGCUGUGGCAGUCACAAUAGUAGCAGGAGCCAGUGCCUAGAUAACAGUGAGGCCCACAGAGAGGUGAAUACAUCUCUAGUAAGUGACAACAUCAAGGUGGAAAUUGGCGAAUGCUGACUUUCUUUCCAGUGUGGUUAUGCUCUGUUAUGGCUGUUUCCAGUUAGCCAAAUGUUCUAAUUACUUGAACUUGUUCACUGAUGUCACAAAAAUGUCAGGUUUGGAGGAAGACUCUGGAGCAUAGCAGGUGAAAUGGAUAGUGGAGUUAUUUAUUUUUUUUUAAUUAAUUUUUAUUGGAUAGUGGAGUUAAAAGAGGAUGAAUUUUGGAGUCAGAGGUGGGUUUGAAUACUUGUCCCAGCCACUUUUUAGCCAUAGUUAUGACUUUGACCAGUUUACUUAAUCUCUCUUACUUAAUCCAAAGAUAAAGAUGAUAAUAUAUACUUGAUAGGCUUUUAUGAGAAUUAAGUAUACAGGUGGCCCAGUGGUUUAGCGGUUUAGUGCCACCUUUAGCCCAGGGCCUGAUCCUGGAGACCUGGGAUCGAGUCCCACGUCCGGCUCCCUGCAGGGAGCCUGCUUCUGCCUCUGCCUGUGUCUCUGCCUCUCUCUCUCUCUCUCUCUGUGUCUCUCACGAAUA
rnacentral:lncRNA from 1 species